rnacentral:rRNA from 1 species
UUUAUGGAGAGUUUGAUCCUGGCUCAGGAUGAACGCUGGCGGCGUGCCUAAUACAUGCAAGUCGAGCGAACGGACGAGAAGCUUGCUUCUCUGAUGUUAGCGGCGGACGGGUGAGUAACACGUGGAUAACCUACCUAUAAGACUGGGAUAACUUCGGGAAACCGGAGCUAAUACCGGAUAAUAUUUUGAACCGCAUGGUUCAAAAGUGAAAGACGGUCUUACUGUCACUUAUAGAUGGAUCCGCGCUGCAUUAGCUAGUUGGUAAGGUAACGGCUUACCAAGGCAACGAUGCAUAGCCGACCUGAGAGGGUGAUCGGCCACACUGGAACUGAGACACGGUCCAGACUCCUACGGGAGGCAGCAGUAGGGAAUCUUCCGCAAUGGGCGAAAGCCUGACGGAGCAACGCCGCGUGAGUGAUGAAGGUCUUCGGAUCGUAAAACUCUGUUAUUAGGGAAGAACAUAUGUGUAAGUAACUGUGCACAUCUUGACGGUACCUAAUCAGAAAGCCACGGCUAACUACGUGCCAGCAGCCGCGGUAAUACGUAGGUGGCAAGCGUUAUCCGGAAUUAUUGGGCGUAAA